rnacentral:rRNA from 1 species
CUCUUCUUGUGUUUAAAUGUGAGGUAUGACCUGCUCAAUGAAUAUUUAAAUGGCCGCGGUAUAUUGACCGUGCAAAGGUAGCAUAAUCAUUAGUCUUUUAAUUGAAGGCUGGAAUGAAUGGUUGGACGAGAUAAUAUCUUUCUUAAGUUUAGAGAUUUGAAUUUAAUUAUUGUGUCAAAAAGCUCAAAUUUUUUUUUGGGACGAGAAGACCCUAUAGAGUUUUAUAAUUAAUUAUAUUUUUGAUAUUUGAUGUUUUGAGAAUUGAAAUUAAGUAUUUUGUUGGGGUGAUGUGAAGAUAUAAUUAACUCUUUUUAUUUAUAUUAUUUAAAAAUUAUUAUUUUUUUGAUCCAUUUUUAGUGAUUAAAAGACUAAAUUACC